GCACCUCUGACGAGUCCCAAACAGGACGAAACAGCUGUUCAGUGC
rnacentral:hammerhead_ribozyme from 1 species